AGCGAGUAUAGAUUAAUUUGGUAAAUCUUUAGUUUUCCACACUAAUAUUAGGAGUUCAAUUCUCCUUACUCGCUU
rnacentral:tRNA from 1 species